AAACCGGUGGCGCAGUGGCUAAGAGGUUUGCCUUUGGAGCAAAAGGUCGGGGUUCGAGUCCCCGUGGGGGUA